rnacentral:rRNA from 1 species
UACGGAGGGGGCAAGCGUUGUUCGGAGUUACUGGGCGUAAAGCGCGCGUAGGUGGCUUGAUAAGCCGGUUGUGAAAGCCCACGGCUCAACCGGGGAGGGUCAUUGGAAACUGGGGAACUUGAGUGCAGAAGAGGAUAGUGGAAUUCCAAGUGUAGCGGUGAAAUGCGUAGAGAUUUGGAGGAACACCAGUGGCGAAGGCGACUGUCUGGUCUGUAACUGACACUGAGGCUCGAAAGCGUGGGUAGCAAACAGG